rnacentral:rRNA from 1 species
AAUUAAGUAUAAAAAGAGCAUUCGAUGGAUGCCUAGGCUCUAGAAGGCGAUGAAAGACGUGAUAGGCUGCGAUAAGCUUCGGGGAGGUGCCAAUACCCUUUGAUCCGAAGAUUUCUGAAUGGGGGAACCCACUGCAUUAGCAGUAUUGCUUAGUGAAUACAUAGCUAAGUGAGGCAAACCCGGGGAACUGAAAUAUCUAAGUACCCGGAGGAAAGGACAUCAAUUGAGACUCCGCUAGUAGUGACGAGCGAACGCGGACCAGGCCAGUGGCUUAUAGGUAAUAAUUAGAACAACCUGGAAAGGUUGGCCAGAGACGGUGAUAGCCCGGUAUAAGUAAAAAGCUUAUAAGUCCUUGAGUAAGGCGGGACACGUGAAAUCCUGUUUGAAGAUGGGGGGACCACCCUCCAAGCCUAAGUACUCUCUAGAGACCGAUAGUGAACUAGUACCGUGAGGGAAAGGUGAAAAGUACCCCGAGAGGGGAGUGAAAUAGUUACUGAAAUCGAAUGCUUACAAGCAGUCGGAGCGAGGUAUGAUGAUUCGUCAUCAUAAGCUUGUGACGGCGUACCUCUUGUAUAAUGGGUCAGCGAGUUAGUAUAACGAGCGAGCUUAAGCCGAUAGGUGUAGGCGUAGCGAAAGCGAGUCUGAAUAGGGCGUAUAGUUCGUUGUAUUAGACCCGAAACCGAGUGAUCUAGCCAUGGUCAGGUUGAAGGCGUAGUAACAUACGCUGGAGGACCGAACCCAUUAAUGUUGAAAAAUUAUGGGAUGAACUGUGGCUAGGGGUGAAAGGCCAAUCAAACUCGGAAAUAGCUGGUUCUCCGCGAAAUCUAUUUAGGUAGAGCGUUAUAGUAUUACCAUCGAGGGUAGAGCACUGGAUGGGCUAGGGGGAUCCAAAGUCUUACCAAACCCAACUAAACUCCGAAUAACGAUGAGUACAGCAUAACAGACAGACUACGGGUGCUAAGAUCCGUAGUCGAGAGGGAAACAGCCCAGACCGCCGUCUAAGGUCCCCAAGUCAUGGCUAAGUGUGAAAGGAUGUGAGAAGACCAAAACAACUAGGAGGUUGGCUUAGAAGCAGCCAUCCUUUAAAGAAAGCGUAACAGCUCACUAGUCUAAAUAAGUCUUUUUGCGCCUAAAAUGUAACGGGGCUAAAGCCAUGCACCGAAGACGCGGGUGCUUAUCAUAUGAUAGGCGCGGUAGCGGAGCGUUCCGUAGGUCGUAGAAGGUGAACCGUGAGGUUUGCUGGAGAUAUCGGAAGUGAGAAUGCUGACAUGAGUAGCGAUAAAAGAUGUGAAAAUCAUCUUCGCCGAAAGUCCAAGGGUUCCUGCGUAAAGCUAAUCUGCGCAGGGUUAGUCGGCCCCUAAGGCGAGGCCGAAAGGCGUAGUCGAUGGGAAUCAGGUUAAUAUUCCUGAACUUGUGGGUAGUGACGGAUGAUGUAAAUUGUGAGCGGUAAUUGGAUUCUGUCUUGCAGUGAAAUUGUCCCAGGAAAUAGCUCCCACGUAUAAACCGUACCCGAAACCGACACAGGUGGACAGGUAGAGUAUACCAAGGCGCUUGAGAGAACGAUGCUGAAGGAACUAGGCAAAUUGCACCUGUAACUUAGGGAGAAGGGUGACCUUCUUAUGGGCAACCAUAGGAGGGUGGCACAAAGCAGGGGGUUGCGACUGUUUAAUAAAAACACAGGGCUAUGCAAACUCCAAAGAGGAGGUAUAUGGUCUGACGCCUGCCCAGUGCUGGAAGGUUAAGAGGAGGUGUGCAAGCACUGAAUUGAAGCCCCAGUGAACGGCGGCCGUAACUAUGACGGUCCUAAGGUAGCGAAAUUCCUUGUCGGGUAAGUUCCGACCCGCACGAAUGGC